AACAUCAAUUUAUUUUAAUCGCCUACAGGUUAUAAGCAGGUAUCUUUGACUAUUUUUGUUUACUAUAAAGUUACCAUAUUUGUGUUUACUGUGGUGCGUAGAUCAAACCAAACUUAAGGUCGUUGCUGGGCGCCUGAUACUGAUAUAUACUAUAUUUCUUAAUAUUAUAAUUGAUGUAUUGGGAAUCAGCUGAUUCUACAUUU